UACGUAGGGCGCAAGCGUUGUCCGGAAUUAUUGGGCGUAAAGAGCUCGUAGGUGGUCUGUCGCGUCUGCCGUGAAAACCCGAGGCUUAACCUCGUGGCUUGCGGUGGAUACGGGCAGACUAGAGGUAGGUAGGGGAGAAUGGAAUUCCCGGUGUAGCGGUGAAAUGCGCAGAUAUCGGGAGGAACACCGGUGGCGAAGGCGGUUCUCUGGGCCGUUACCUGACGCUGAGGAGCGAAAGCGUGGGGAGCGAACAGG
rnacentral:rRNA from 1 species